AUGGCCAGCUUCAGACACCUUUUCAUUCACCGAUUCCUUCAUCUUGCACAUAAAGAGACCAAAGGUCAGCCCUGAUGUAAGGAUGGUGAAACACGCCUCCCGCCCCAGCCUCGCCCUGGCUGCACCACGCAUGCGCACUCAGGUGAGCAGUAAAGCGUGGAAUCAGAGUAGUUCUUGCUGAAAGAAAGGGGAGAGAAAACCUUCAGGAGAGUCACUUCCCCAUGAGGCUCAUGCCUUCCCGUCACCCCUAACCUCCUGCAAGUGCAACAGUCUCCUCAUGGACUUCCACACCAUCACCCCCUCACUUCAGCCCAGCUUCCCUACCAUCUAAAAUUGAACCCCACCUUGAAACCCUUGGUUAUGAAACUUUUAUUAGAAUGGAAAUAAAAACAAGGAGAAUUUUUAAAAGUACAGUCCUCAGUGCUGAAGAGGAUACUGUGAAACAGGUAAUCUCAUUUAUUGCUACUAGAAAUGCCAUUUGAAGAACACUUUUAGAAUGCAGUUUAAGGAUACAUAACAAGAGCUUAAAUAUAUCAUCUUUGACCCAGUAAUUCCAUUUCUGAGGAGCUAAGGAAAUAAUCCCGUUUAUGGAAGUUAUAUACAGAGAUAGUUAUUACAUCAUUAUUUAUGUAGAGAAAAAUUGGAAAUAAUGUAACUAGAUUACGAUAGAAGUAAUAUAUGAUACUGAUGGUCUGUUAUACAGUCAUUACAAAUGAUGUUUGCUUAUAGAAAAAAGACAAAAUAAAAUACACCAA
rnacentral:lncRNA from 1 species